GAGUGUAUAGCUCAGUGGUAGAGUGUUUGCUUAGCGUGCAUGAGGUCCUGGGUUCCAUCCCCAGUACUGCCA
rfam:Camelus ferus unplaced genomic scaffold scaffold256, whole genome shotgun sequence.